CCACCCGCGAGGGCCGGGGCGGCGGCGGCGGACGGCGAUGGCCUCCGGCGUGUCUCUCCGGGCCGGGCCGGCGGCCCCUCUUCCCCGGCGGCGGCGGCCCGUGGCGGCGGCCCGGCCGUCCUCGUCGUCGUCGUCGUCGGGCGGCAGCGAGGAGGACGAGGCGGCGGGCGGGGCGGCGGCGGCCGGGGGCCCGGCGGGGUCUGGCGGGUCCGGCGCCGGCUCCUCGUCCUCGGGCCAGAUCAUCCACUCGGGCCACUUCAUGGUGUCGUCGCCGCACAGCGAGCACCCGCCCAAGAAGGGCUACGACUUCGACACGGUCAACGAGCAGACCUGCCAGACGUACCGCUUCGGCGGCUGGGCCCGCAGGGAAGCGGCGGCCGAGGGGGGCGCCGGCGGGGCCCGCGACGGCCGCCUCAGCAUCGACGCCUCGCUGACCAAGCUCUUCGAGUGCAUGAGCCUGGCCUACAGUGGGACCUUGGUUUCCCCCAAGUGGAAGAACUUCAAAGGGUUGAAGUUAUUGUGUCGAGACAAAAUCCGACUCAACAAUGCCAUCUGGAGGGCUUGGUACAUUCAGUAUCUAGAGAAGAGGAAGAACCCCGUGUGCAAUUUUGUGACCCCCCUGGAUGGUUCUGUGGAUGUUCCUGAGGUAGACCAGGGUAGUAGUCGAACGAAUGAGAAAUAUUGGAGGCGGCGGAUUGACAUAGUCAUCCGAGAGUAUCACAAGUGGCGAACUUACUUCAAGAAAAGAUUACAAAAGCACAAAGAUGAAGACCUGUCCAGUUUGGUCCAGGAUGAUGGCUUCUUCAGGAAAGAGAGCCCCAUGGAACUGGAAGAGUUCUUCACCACAGACGAUUACAUGUCGGGAUCUUCAGACACCCUGUUCUCUACGCUGUCCAGUCACCAGCUGCUCACCUGGCCGAAUCCGAAGGAGAGAGCACACAUGGGCAACGCUGACAUGAUCCAGCCGGGACUCUACCCUCUGCAGCCCAACUGGAUGGAGACUUUGGAAUUUUUCCCAGAUAUUUUUGCCUUUCCUGCAAGCAUUACCUCCAGCCUGACACCCAGUGCCUCUUUGCCAGGGGCCACGGACCAUUGUGCCCAGACCUCAAGCCUCUCCUCGACCUCUUUACGCAGCCCGCUUCCGACGGUGAACCUGGGGGAAGAGCUGGUGGCCCCUCCGGGGCCUGACUCCAUCCUCCCCCCCGACCAGUGCCUGGGGCUGAGGAGCGAGGAGCCUUGCCUGCAGACGCCCAGCUUCCCCCCAGAGCUGCCCCUGACCGGCCAGCCCCACUUCCUGCCUCGCUUCCCGACUCUGGGGCUGCCUCUCCAGGGGGAGGUGCCUUCCCAACCGCCGCAGCAGACCCUCCUCUCCUUGAACCCGGACCUGGCCUUGCAGGUGCCCCUCUUCACCCCCGCCGAGGCUCCAAAGUUCGGGCCCGGCAAGCCUUCAGUCAUCACCCACACCGCCUCGGCCACCCCCACGCAGAACGCGCCGGCCACCACCUUCAGCCACGGCCCGGCGGGACUCUUGGCCACACUCCAGACGGCGGUGGUGCAUCCCCACGGCCUCCUGCAGCCGCCGACGCCCUUCGUCCUCCCCCUGGCGGGCCCGGGGCUGCGGCCCAGGAAACCCCAGCAGAUCGCGCCCGCCCCGGCGGAGCCCGUGCCUUUGAUGCUGAACAGUGCCUUCCUCUCCCCAGUCCGGGACUGCCAGCCGUCGAGACAGGCCUCUCCCCACCCGUCCGAGCAGGGCCUCGGCCCUCAGUCCCCGCAGAGCAGCCGCUCCAGGAAAGGCACUCCGGAGCCGCUUUUCAAGAGUCACAGAAUGAAGCACAUCUCAGCGGAGCAGAAACGGAGAUUCAACAUCAAGAUUGGCUUUGGCAACCUCAACAGUCUGGUCUCCCCAAACUCUAAAUCGAUCAGCCACGCCCUCACCCUCCAGAAGACUGUCGAGUACAUUGCCAAGCUGCAGCAGGAGCGCUCGCAAAUGCAGAAGGAAGCCCAGCGCCUUCGGGAAGAGACGGUUGAGCUGAACGCGGCCAUCAUUUCCUGCCAGCAACAGUUGCCUGCCACCGGGGUGCCCAUCACGAGGCAGCGGUUUGACCAGAUGAGGAACAUGUUUGAAGACUACAUCCAAAACCGGAGCCAGCAAAACUUGAAAUUCUGGAUUUUCAGUGUCCUCAUCCAGCCUCUGUUUGAAACCUUCAAUGAGAUGGUGUCCACCACCAGCCUGCAGGAGCUGAACCGGACAGCCUUGAUGUGGCUGGACAAGCACUGCUCGCUCCCCGUCCUGAGGCCCAUGGUCCUGAACAGUCUCCGGCACUUAAGCACUACCACCUCCAUCCUCUCCGACCCGUCCCUCUUGCAAGAGCAAGCCAGCCAGGCCUUGAGCAAACUCCACAAAACCCCGGGGGAAACGUAACAGAAGACACGCUCAACUCACGGUGGAUAUCCCGGACUCAACAGAGACUUUAUCAGCUUCCCCAGUCUGGGACUUCCUCCAGAGAUCACCUGCCUUAGAAUUCGAGAUGAUCAGGUCCAUAUGUGUGCAACAUUGGAACUGUGCGACAGAAGCAUCUGGGACCAUCACCCAUUUAAGCCCCCCGGGGUGGGGAGAUCAGACAGCAAAGGGGUGCCUUAGCUUUGACACCUGAGCCAUUUCCCUCUCUCCCAUUAUUAUAAUUUUUUUUAAAAAAGCCAUUUUUUCCCCUUCCACCAGGAUUCCACACAAGAGAUUUGGGGACCUGUGAGCUUUGUUGCAUUCAUGUGGUAGAGAAACACAUCCUGUUUAGAUCAGCUCAGAGUUUCAGAGGUUGCCAAGUAGCAAGAAGACAAUUUGGUGUGGUUCAGACGCUCCAAACUGGCGAGGUGUGACUUGCUGGCUGCCGAAUUUCUCAGCCUUGUAAGAUGCGCCCCAAAAUCCACCCUGCUAGUCCUCAUGGCAGAUGGCUGUAGAGUCCUCUGUUUUGAUUGCUAGGCUGGUUAUGAAAAUGGAGCUUGUUUGGAGGCCUUGAAGCUCCUUUUCCUUCUCUUCAGACUUGUAAGUAGACUUGGGCCAGGUGGAUAAAAUCUUUUGAUGAGUUUUCUUUAGGCGUUGAAGCACAGGGAGGUGUCAUCCCAAAGAUGCUUUUCUCCCACGGGACAACUGGGCUUCCUUGUUUUUCUCCGAAGACGUUUCGCUUCUCAUCCAAGAAGCUUCUUGGGAUGGUGGGGAAUGCAAGGAUUUAUACACCUUGCAGACCGCUGGUCGUUUGUAUAAAUGAGUAUAAAUCCUUCCAGUCCCCACCAUCCCGUCAGAACUGAAGAAGCUUCUCGGAGGAGAAACGCAACCUCUUCAAAGUAAAACAAGGGUGUCCAGUUGCCUCCUGAAAAAGCCCCUUGGGGACAACCAGGACCUGGAUGAUGGAGAAUCUCCAUAGACGGAGGUGUAAUCUAUACAAGCGGAUCUGUUGACAUGAUUUUUGACAGCAAGAACGGCAUCAGAUGCCUGUGGGCAGAGCUUUGCCUCACCCUCGGUUUGCUACAAAUCAAUUGUCUGGAUGUUUGCAGUUACAACACCGCUAAAAAAAAAAAGGGAUUUGUGACUGGUGUUCACACUUUGCAGCAUCCCCAGGGUCACGUGAUCAGAAUUCAGAUGCUUGGCAACUGACAUGUACUUAGGACGGCUGCAGCGUCCCGGGGAUCAUUUAUCACCUUUUGCAACCUUCUGACAAGCAAAGCUUGCUUAAUGACCGUGUGAGUCGCUUAACAACUGCCAAGAAAUGGGGCGUAAAAUGGAGUGCAACUCUCCAAACAACAGCCUUGCUUAGUCACAGAAAUGUUUUGGGCUUAAUUCUACAUCGUAAUUCGAGAACUGCCUGUAUUUUUGUCCCUCAAACUCCGUGUCAGAAUUAGUGGAUUCCAAGCUUCUAGAAUGAUUUUCAAGAAGAUGGAAUUUGAACCCAGAAUCCAAUUUGAAAGGGUUUGGCAUCUUAAUUGAGCAGAAUAACUAAAAACCUGGAAGGCACAAAUAAAAUAACUGAAAUGUAGUUUCCAAAUCUCAAGAAGAAACCAUUUAGUUUUUGUAUAUCUGUUUAUUUAUUUGUUUAGUACAUAUUGCAUUUAAGACAUGACUCACUUAGAAUUAAUCCAUGUCAAUUUAAAACACUAAACUUAAAUCUUCAGUAGCACCUUAGUAGCAUUCCUUAAAUUAAAAUAAGAAUACAUUCCUUCAGUUGAUGAUUCAAAUACUUUAAAUAGAUUUAAAUAUAAUAAAAUAACCAGUGGAACUGUUUCUCUAAGAAAUAAUCAGUCAAUGAACAUUAUUAACUAUAAUUUAAUUUUUAAUUUAAGUUAUAUAAUAUAUAUUAUAUGAAGUUAUAUAAAAUAAAAUAAAUAUAAUAAAUAAAUUGCAUUCCUUAAUUUGGUAAAUUUUAGUUGCAGUUUUUCUAACGAUCCUUAGCGCUACACAUU